UACGUAGGGGGCAAGCGUUGUCCGGAAUCAUUGGGCGUAAAGAGCGUGUAGGCGGCUCGAUAAGUCUGCUGUGAAAGUCCAGGGCUCAACCCUGGAAGGCCGGUGGAAACUGUCGGGCUAGAGUCCGGAAGAGGCGAGUGGAAUUCCCGGUGUAGCGGUGAAAUGCGUAGAUAUCUGGAGGAACACCGGUGGCGAAGGCGGCAUCCUGGACCAAUACUGACACUGAAAAGCGAAAGCCAGGGGAGCAAACGGG
rnacentral:rRNA from 1 species